GAUGAACGCUGGCGGCGUGCUUAAUACAUGCAAGUCGAGCGAACAGACCAGGAGUUUGCUCCUUCGACGUUAGCGGCGGACGGGUGAGUAACACGUAGGUAACCUACCUAUAAGACUGGGAUAACUUCGGGAAUCCGGAGCUAAUACCGGAUAAUAUUUCGAACCGCGUGGUUCGAUAGUGAAAGAUGGCUUUGCUAUCACUUAUAGAUGGACCUGCGCCGUAUUAGCUAGUUGGUAAGGUAACGGCUUAUCAAGGGAACGAUAGGUAGACGACGUGAGAGGGUGAUCGGCCACAUGGGAAGUGAGACACGGUCCAUGCUACUGCGAGAGGCAGCAGUAGGGAAUCUGCCGCAGUGGGCGAAAACCUGACAGAGCGAGGCGGCGUGAGUUAUGGAAGUCUUGGGAGCGUAAAACCCUGUUAUUAGGUAAGAACAAACUUGGACGGAACCGAGGACGGCGUGACGGUAACGAGUAAAAAAGCAACGGCUAACUACGUG
rnacentral:rRNA from 1 species